rnacentral:misc_RNA from 1 species
UCUCCGUAGGUGAACCUGCGGAGGGAUUAUUACUGAGUGAGGGCUCCGGCCCGACCUCCAACCCCAUGUGAACCGAAACCUGUUGCUUCGGGGGCGACCCUGCCGCUUCGGCGGUGCGGCGCCCCCGGAGGCCAUUAAACACUGCAUCAUUGCGUCGGAGUUAAAGUAAAUUAAACAAAACUUUCAACAACGGAUCUCUUGGUUCCAGCAUCGAUGAAAACGAGC